AUUUUCCUCACCCUCUCUUCUCACACACGACAGAUCUCCCUCUCUCUCCGUCCGACGCACCCUCUCCCUCUCCCUCUCUCUCUCUCUCUCUCUCUCUCUCUCUCUCUCUUGGGUCUUGCAUCCAUAGCUCAAACCCAUGGAAACCCAGCCUCUCUAUGCCGUGUUCUAACUUCCCCGACGUGUGAGUUGCGUUGAUUAAGCUUGGAAGGGGUGUAUCUCGGUGCAUUUCGAAUUUGAAGCCCUAGAGUUCGAUUGAGCUUGAGCUUGUGCUUUCGAUCUUUGAGGUACUACUCAGGGGCGGUAGCAUGAAGUGCUUGCGUGCAUGGACUGACUGACUUAUUUUUUUUGAAAGCUAACAUGGAGGAGUUAGUUAGUCAUCUUUGUAAAAUCUCCUUUUUGUCAAAGAUGUAUAUGUAACUUAAUUUCAUAUUCCUUUUGACUAAGAAUGUUGCUCAGCUCUUAACAUUUAUGUAUCUCGACCAAAUGCUAUUUUGGGCCGGUGUGCCGCCAAUGUAAUCUUUUAAAAUCUAAAGUGUUGGACUGUAAAUUGAAGUAUGGGAACUAUGAACUCCUUGGGUUAUUAUAUUAUAUAUUACGAGCAUUUUGUUUA